GGGAAGGAGGAGGAGAAGGAGGAGGCUAACCCACCGACGGUAACGAGAGGUGUGGUAGGUUCGAGCUCGAGGGUAAAGUAGUGGUGAGACGAUCGGGCUCAGAGGGAGAACUGGGUGGCAGCCAAAGUCCGGAGCUUUAGGAGCAGGGUCAGAGAAAGAGGAAAGUUCUUCUUAAAGAAACCCAACUCCCUCGACGACAAGAACCAUCCUGUCCGAUCCGGUCUAGACCCCCUCUCCCACCCAACAACAAGGCGAACUUUAGAGACCCAAAACAACGCGACCUCCAAGAACGACCGGUACCAAACAGGUCCGUACGACUCCGCGUUAGAGACUCGAAAUACUUCUAGCGGUGAGUGGACGCGGCCACGACGAAGGAGGUCAGGAAGAGGCAGCAGAAGGAGAUGAUGAAAAUACACUAGAGUAUUAACCGGGAGAUUUUAGGCGGCAGCGAUCGUCAUUUGAUAAAAGAGGAAGAAGAACAAGAAGAACGAAGGAAAAGGACGCAGUUGUUCACUAUUUAUUCUUGGCAUCGUCGUCGUAGUAGUAGUCGUCGUCAUCAUCGGUUCAUGAUCACUAAGGCCACGGUUCUACAGCAGCAGCAGCGACAGCGGCCCUCCGCCUUCCGACAGCCCGAGCCUGCCGCUGAGCCCCCGCUGCAAGCGCCGGCCCCUGUUGGCCGCCCUCUUCUCCGCCGACAGCUUGGCCCUCAGCCGCGCCGCCAGCGCCGACGCCUUCGUCGUCGUGGACCUGCUCGACCACGUCCUCCACCGCGCGGAGUUCCGGCUCUUGCGCGCGCACGACCGCGCGCGGUUGCUGUAGUGGCCCGUCAAGCACGCGCACCUGGUCCUCUUGUGGCACGAGGCCCGCGCGCGGCGGCUCGAGCCGCUGGCCGACGCGAGGCAGUUGGUCCACGAGGCGCAGCAGCUCCUCAAGUCGCCGCAGCGGUACCUGUAGGUCCUCCUCACGGGCGGACUGCUGGGGGACGAGGCCGGCACCGUCUGGGGCAUGGGACGGUGGCGGUACGGGUAGCGGCGGUGGCGGUGCGUGUACGAGGUCAUGACUAGCUAGGCCACUACUAACCCAGUUAUUAACUCCUAGGGGACAUCCUCGACUCGACUCGACACCGACCGUUCUCCUUCUUCUAGAUGAGAUGAACCGACGACGGAACUCCUAAUAAUGGUUCCGCAUCAAACGACGAUAUACAACACAAAUAAUACAAAGUCAUUCACAGGCAGCAGCAGGAGGAGGAGGCACAGGAUACAUUACAUUGUCAUUAUUCCCAAUUAAUAUACAUACCAACACAAGAUACAUAGCACUUAAACACUAUUAAGACAAGUUACAAUAAUGGUACAGUACAAUAAUACAAACCAAGGUCACAAGUCACAUUUAAGACGUCACAAGGUUCAUUAUUAAGUUCACAAACUAGUCUAAAAUG
rnacentral:rRNA from 1 species